GUAGGUGGCAAGCGUUGUCCGGAAUUAUUGGGCGUAAAGCGCGCGCAGGCGGUCCUUUAAGUCUGAUGUGAAAGCCCACGGCUCAACCGUGGAGGGUCAUUGGAAACUGGGGGACUUGAGUACAGAAGAGGAAAGCGGAAUUCCAAGUGUAGCGGUGAAAUGCGUAGAGAUUUGGAGGAACACCAGUGGCGAAGGCGGCUUUCUGGUCUGUAACUGACGCUGAGGCGCGAAAGCGUGGGGAGCAAACAGGGAUUAGAUACCCUGGUAGUCCACGCCGUAAACGAUGAGUGCUAAGUGUUAGGGGGGUUUCCGCCCCCUUAGUGCUGCAGCUAACGCAUUAAGCACUCCGCCUGGGGAGUACGGCCGCAAGGCCG
rnacentral:rRNA from 1 species